GUUCUUCUCAAGCGAGUCUAGGAUAGUGGAAGCUAGAUGGGAGAUAGGGUAAUAAUUGGCACUUUCGUAAUGAGCCUAGCUCAAUUUUUUUAAACAAAUGAAGUAAUAAAUUAGGGUGGAACCGCGUUUUGACG
rnacentral:sRNA from 1 species